CCUACGGGAGGCAGCAGUGAGGAAUAUUGGUCAAUGGGCGCGAGCCUGAACCAGCCAAGUCGCGUGAGGGAGGACGGCCCUACGGGUUGUAAACCUCUUUUGCCGGGGAGCAAAGGGCGCCACGUGUCGCGUCACUGAGUGUCCCCGGAGAAAAAGCAUCGGCUAACUCCGUGCCCGCAGCCGCGGUAAUACGGAGGAUGCGCGCGUUAUCCGGAUUUAUUGGGUUUAAAGGGUGCGUAGGCGGAUCGUUAAGUCAGUGGUCAAAUUGAGGGGCUCAACCCCUUCCCGCCAUUGAAACUGGCGAUCUAGAGUGGAAGAGAAGUAUGCGGAAUGCGUGGUGUAGCGGUGAAAUGCAUAGAUAUCACGCAGAACCCCGAUUGCGAAGGCAGCAUGCCGGCUUCCGACUGACGCUGAAGCACGAAAGCGUGGGGAUCGAACAGGAUUAGAUACCCCAGUAGUC
rnacentral:rRNA from 1 species